GCUGGGCAUGGUAGUGCACGCCUGUAAUCCCAGCAGCUUGGGAGGCUGGGGCAGGAGGAUUACAAGUCCCAGGCCAGCUUCAGCUACUU
rnacentral:sRNA from 1 species